AAGCCCAUCAUGGCUUCAUACAGUGGAAAAUGUUGCUGAGUUAGCUUUUGGCUCUGCCACACUACUCUGAGCACCACUGCAGCCAGAGAAGGACAAGGAACUGUGGUGGGACUGGAAUUUCUGGGAAAGGGCAAAGUGGUCCCAACAGCGUGGAGCCCUGUGCCAAGAAGACUCCAUUAACCAGGAGAAUUAUUUAUGGGAAGAGAGCUGAGGAAAUAGGGUUAUUACUAAGGACUUGGGAAUGAAGGAAGAUGAACAGAACUGGAGGCUGUAAAUUAAAUAAAGAAUGAGACUGAAGGAAGAAAAAAAACAACCAACAACACAGCAAGUCACAGGACCCAGUGCUGCUCAUGCUUCACACCAGUUUGUCACCACUGACAACGCUUCUGUGGAGCCAUGUGCAAUCCUGCCACACCACUUGCUGUUCUUGUCAUAGCUGCAGGCAGAGGGUCACAUCUCCAGAGCUGCAGACACAGCCCUGCUGCCAGCUGCGACUGCCUGAGGUACGGCCACUUACACUCUCUGUCUCCUGACUUCAUGGGAAAUACAGUG